CCCCCCACCUCUCAUUCCAUGCAAGACUGGAAGCUCCAUGAAGACAGGGCUUGUGUUGCCUCAGUUGUGUAUUCCCAGUACUAAGAAAAGGGCUUUACUUAUUGAAGCUGACAAGUAAAUGCUUAUAAUUGAAUUGAACUGGGGCAGUUCUAGUCAGUGAUGUUAGAGCUGAGACUCUCAAGUGAGGGGGCGUCUAACUGACAUUUUCCUGGGCCCUGCAUCCUGCCUGGGAGGAGAGGAACAUGGCUCCAGCGGCUCCCUUUGGGAGAGGGCCAAGUUCGGCUGAAUGGCUGUAAUCCCGGAAUGGUUCCAGAAAAGGUUUCCUCUCCCAGCGGGCUUGCCAGAUGCCCCGUUACCACUCUUGGCGGGGACAGAGAUGAGUGAAGUGUUAAGACCCUAGUCUAAAACACUUGCCAACUUUCUUCUGCUUGCCAGCGGAGCCCUGUCUACUCCCCAGAAGGCCGGUGGUGUCUGCCCUGCUUGGCUGGCUCAGCCAUCGUGGGAGGAGGACGGAUGCUGGGCAGGGAGCAGCCAUGGGGCUUUCGCACUCCUGGUCAGGCUCUUCUCUAAACCAAAGGGCAUGGCCGAGAAGAGACAGAAAAAGGUUUGCAGCUGCAUUUCUCAAUCAGUGAAUGGUGUGUCUAGGCUGCCAGACCGGGAAUUAUGUCUUUUUAUGACAGAAAAUUUGGGGUUUUUCUUUAUUUUUAUAUUGACCCCCAGUCUCCCAAAAUUUCCUUUUAUUGAGGGGAAAUUUAUGUCCCAGAUACUGUCGGCUGGAGCGGAGAGGAAGCCCCUUACACCAAGGGUCAUUUGCACCCUCAGCAAGCAGCAUCACCUGCGGUACUCAGAAGCCACUUCAUGAGUACUUGAAGAAUGCUCCAACUGCAUUUACGUACUUUCACUAUCUUUCACACUUCCAAGACUCGAGGACGAGUGCAGAGUCCUGCAGGGCAAGUCUCACUCUGGCCAGUCUCGUGAUCUUGAUCAAGUCCCUGUCCUUUUCCUGAGUAAUGAGGGUGUUGGGCUGGAUCAUCUCCAGCUACCUUUCUUCUGACCUCAGCGGUCAGACAAAAUCCCUACCUGCCCUUAGUUCCCCAAUGUCCAGGAGGCUGUCCUGGGAUGGGGCUUCUGAGAUAAAUCGAUGAGAAAGGGGAGCAGGACAGGACAUGCUUCAGGAGGCUGAGCAGGACCUGGGAGUUGUGCUGCAUGGGUAUAUAUGGAUAUGGAAGGACAAGGGGCUCCUUCAUUCCUUCUGGCUCAUAUAUUUACCUCAUUACAGAGAGUUUUGCUCUGUUGUUGUUUUUUUGUUAAAUCUUAUUGAAUUCUUAGUAUUUUAUUUUCCCCAAUUACUUGUAAAAACAAUCUUUAACAUUCAUUUUUAAAAUUUUGAGUUCCAAAUUCUCUUCCUCCCUCCCCAUGCCCCUCAUUGAGAAGGCAAGCAAUUUGAUACAGGUUAUACAUGUACAGUUAAUCAAAACAUAUUUCCACAUUAGUCGUGUUUUGAAAGAAAACAUAAACCAAAAAAAAAAAAAUAGCUCAAGAAAAAUUAAGAAAGUAAAAAAAAAUGCUUCCAUCUGCAUUCAGACACCAUCAGAACUUUGUCUGGAUAGCAUUUUUCAUCAUAGGUCCUUCAGAGUUGUAUUGGGUCAUUGCAUUGCUGAGAAUAGCUAAAUCAUUCACAGCUAAUCAUCUUACAAUACUGCUGUUACUUUGUACAUUCUAUAUUUCCCUUUGCAUCAGCUCAUGGAAGUCUUUCCAGGUUUUUCUGAGAGUUUUCUGCUCAUCUUUUCUCAUACGUACAAUAGCAUUCCAUGAUAAUCACAAAGCACAAUUUGUUCAGUCAUUCCCCAAUUGAUGGGUAUCCUCCCAAUUUCAAAUCCCUGCUACCAGAAAAGAGCUAUUUAAAUAUUUCCAUGACAUAGAUCCUCGCUCUUCUCUCCCUUAAAAAAAAACUCUUUUUGGAUACAGAGUUAGUAAUGGCAUUAUAUACGAAGUGCACGCAUGUUUCUAAAUUUGGGCAUAGUUCCAAAUUGCUCUAAAUACUGGUUGAAUCAGCUCACCACUCUACCGAUACUGCAUUAAUGUCUCAUUUCCCCCACAUCCCCUCCAACAUUUAUUUGUCAUUCUAUUUUUCUGUUCUAUUAGUCAACCUAAUAGAUAGGAGGUAGUUCCUCAGAAUUAUUUAAAUCUGCAUUACUUCAGUCAACAGUGAUUUAAAACACCUUUUCAUGUGACUGCAGAUAGCUCUGAUUACUUCAUUUGAAAACCUCAUGUCUCUUGAUCAUCCAUCAUUUGCGGAAUGGCUCCUACUUUGACUCAGUUCUCUCCAAAACUGAGAUAUUUAUCAGAGAAACUUGCACCAAAAAAUGUUUUCACAGUUAUAUUUACUAAAUGUAUUUCCCUCCACUCUAUUUAUUCCAUUCU
ensembl:lncRNA